rnacentral:misc_RNA from 1 species
GUGAAUCAUCGAAUCUUUGAACGCAAAUUGCACUUUAUGGUAUUCCGGAGAGUAUGCCUGUUCGAGGGUCAGUUACAUAAUCAUCGGUGUUGUUGCUGCUUUUCGUUGUGACGCGCCGGAAUUGCGUUGUCUUACCUUCGGUUAAGUGACUUAAAAUUUUGCAUGAUUUUCGAACGUAUUUUAAUUUCUUACGUACGUUUGAGUUA